AAGUUCUCAGUUCAACACAUAUGUACUAAAAGUGAAAACAUACAGAGGAGGUUAGCAUGGACCCUGUGCAAGGAUGGCCUGCAAAUCUGUGAAGUAUUCAUAUUUAUU
rfam:Tupaia chinensis contig172091, whole genome shotgun sequence.